UCAGGAGAUCCUCAGCUACAUCAAUCGCAAGGAGUUUGAGCCGCUCCUCAGGGUGGAUCAGCUCAACCUAGAGAAAGAGAAGCACAAGAUCUUCCUGCGAUUUAGUGAGUGGCUGAUCCCUCUCCCCUCAACCCGCCCUGCCCCGCUUUCCCCUCCUUCUCCAACUAUAGGAGUUGUGUGUUGCAGCCGCCGUUCUCCAUCUCAGCUUUGGGUGAUGAGCUAAGGGUCCCAGAUUGUUUUAAAUAACUCCCUUUUUAAAAGAAGGUUGGCUAGUGUCAGGGAACUGACAUCGGAGCUAGAGGCGGAGGGGAGGCUCUCAAAUGAUGCUGGAGAAGGGCCCAGCAGGGAGAGAGGCAGCUCAGCAGAUGGGGAAGCAAUUCAGCGCAACACCAGGAAUAAGGAGGGGCAGAUGGGGGAAUCGGAGAGAGGGCUCCCAGACUCUUCACCGGACACCAGCGGGGAGAGCACGGGUCCUCCGCUACCCACGCCCUCCCUGCGCAGAAGGCUUCCGCGCAGGGAGAGUAGGAGGAGACUUGGCGUCAAACAACUUUUAUGUUGGAAAAGGUUUAAGAAACGCCCACUGACGGAUUCUGCUAGCGACUGAGGCAGCUACGAAUUGAAGGGCUGUCCAGACAGAAAGGUUUAACAAGGCAACAUAGCCAGGAGAGGCGGCAACUUACGCACGAGCAACCCCAUACCAUUAUAGCUAGCAUCCGUAACAGUAGAAGGCACAGCCUGUGGAACUCCUUGCCACAGGAUGGGUGGGGAGGGAGGAACAAGCUGAAGCGUGGUGUUGCCUCUUCAGAUAAAAGGGCUAUGUUAGUAAUAGGGAAUAACACUCAUUAUCUAAAUAGCUUUUCGAACAUUUUUGAUAUACAUUAUCUCAGUAACUUUUGCAGUCGCCCUGCCAAGUAAGCCAGCCGCAUUCUCCUCCUCCUGCCAGCGAAGGACGAGGAGGUUCAGGCCUGAGCUGAACUUUGAACCUGCAACUUCACGCCUCGCCGUUACUAAUUUAGAAAAUUCAAAUGGCAGCCUCUUAAAGCGUCGGGCGGAAGUUUAAAAUCAUGUAACAACCAUAAUGCAAUAGUCACCCACAGGAAGAUAAAUGCAACAUAAAACAAAAGCAGCAGAACCUCUGCAUUCAUGUGUCACAAUAAACUAUGGACAAUUGUGACUUGGAGACCCCUCACCUGAGCUUUCGCUUUCCCCUCUUCUGCUGUGGCAUCAAGGAGACUGGAAGCUUUUGCUUUCUAUUAAAUGUAGCUCAGUAUCAUGUCUGAGCACGACGUGGUGAAUGCCAGCCUUUGUUUGUUGAACCAUGGUUAAGGCUAGCCAUGGUUUGCUGGGUUUGUGCAGCAGCCGGUCUCUGGUUUGUCUUCCGCUUUCCCCAGGUGAGGAGGAGAUCACCUUCCCCCACGUACCGCUACGAGAGGGCUCCCGGGACACCUACGUCUGGCAUAAACAGAAGCCCACUGGGGUAGGUGCUGCCGGCCCGAGAGGGGAAGGGCGAAGUUGGGACGAGGGGGUUGGCCACAAAUGGGAGGGGGGUGGGCAGAAAUGCUUGGUUGCUGUGUAGGGGGGAGGCAGAGUUCAGCUUGCAGCCUGUCCCAGGGAACAUCGGAAGCUGCCUCCUACUGAGCCAGACCCUUGGCCCAUCCUGCUCCAUACUGCCUGCACUGACUGGCAGCAGUGGCUCUCCGGGGUUUCUUGCUGGGAUCUCUCCCAGACCUACUCUGGGAUUGAACCCCGGGAAUCUUCUGCUUGAGUGCAGAUUGUUUAGUCAGAGAAGUGUCAAAAGCAAAGAGCGGAUCUUAGGCCGAAUUGCUGUUAUCAAGAUGAAUGUAUUGCCUAGAAUGUUGUUUUUAUUUCAGACACUGCAGAUUUUGGACAAGAUGGACUGUUUCAAGAAGUGGCAGAAAGAUAUAUCUAAAUUUGUCUGGCAGGGCAAAGCCCAGAAUAAAAUUUAAGAAUCUAACUGAUGCUAAAGAUAGAGGGGGGUUUGCCCUGCCGGACUUAAGACUCUACUAUGAAUCGGCGGCUUUCUGCUGGUUGAAACAGUGGCUACUUCUUGAGAAUACAGAUAUUUUGGAUCUAGAAGGGUUUGAUAAUAGAUUUGGUUGGCAUGCAUAUAUAUGGUAUGAUAAGGUAAAACAGCAUAAAGGUUUCAAAAACCAUAUUGUUAGGAAAGCAUUAUACAAUGUUUGGAUUCGGUAUAAAGAUCUAUUGGAAAGUAAAACUCCCAGGUGGUUGUCACCAAUGGAAGCUAAAGAGGUGAAAAACUUAAUAUGGAGUCUAAAUGGCCAAAAUAUUGUGAAAUUCUAGAACAAGAUGGGGAAAAAGUUAAAUUACAGAGCUAUGAGAAAUUAAAGUCCAAAGUGCGAGAUUGGUUGCACUACCUUCAGAUAAACGAGACAUUUAAACAGGACAGGAAAAUAGGUUUCCAGAUGGAGAGGUCAAAAUUGGAAACAGAACUGUUAGAACCCAAUACUAAGAAUCUGUCGAGAAUGUAUAAUCUGCUGUUGAAAUGGAAUACACAGGAUGAAACGGUGAAAUCAGCUAUGAUAAAAUGGGCACAAGAUAUCGGUCAUAACAUUAUGUUUGCUGACUGGGAACAGUUGUGGACCACCGGUAUUAAAUUUACGGCAUGUAAUGCCUUAAGAGAAAACAUUAUGAAAAUGAUGUAUAGGUGGUACAUGACCCCAGUCAAGCUUGCAAAAAUUUAUCAUCUGCCCAAUAACAAAUGUUGGAAAUGUAAUGAGACUGAAGGUACUUUUUAUCACCUUUGGUGGACCUGCCCGAGGAUAAAAGCUUUUUGGGAAAUGAUCUAUAAUGAAAUUAAGAAGGUUCUUAAAUGGACCUUCCCUAAAAACCAGAGGCUUUUCUCUUGGGCAUUGUCGGCCAAUUGGUGAGAAGGAAGGACAGGACGUUUUUAUGUAUGCGACAACAGCAGCAAGGAUUCUUCUAGCAAAGUAUUGGAAGACACAACAACUACCCACACUGGAAGAAUGGCAGACGAAGGUGAUCGACUAUAUGGGACUGGCCGAAUUGACUGGCAGAAUCCGUGACCAGGGGAAAGAGACAGUGGAAGAAGAUUGGAAGAAAUUUAAAGUUUAUCUUAGAACUUGUUGUAAAAUUCAGGAAUGUUAAAAUGUCAAGGGGUUGGGAAACAGAGAACUGCAGCUGUAACUAAUAAUAUUAGAAGAACUUAAAAGAAAUUGAAUUGAAUAAUUAGUUGAUUGAGGAGUUGCUGAAGAAAUAUAAAACAAGGAUGCAGAAAAGGGAGGUAUGGGGAAGUCCGGAAAGUAAGGUUUAUGAAAAAUGGCUAUGAAAUUAUACAUGUUUAUAUGUUUGUAUGUCGGUGUUUUGUGUAUUGUUUGCUUUCUUAUCUUAUGUUUGGAAAAUUAAUAAAAAUUUAUU